rnacentral:lncRNA from 1 species
CCGCCCUGCCCCUCCCUGCACGGCCGCGCUCCGCCUCCGCUCCUAUCUCAAUUUGAAUUGUCCUCCUGCAGCCCCACCACCCACAGUGGGGAACCGGUGAAGAGACUACAACUCCUGGAUGCACCGGGAGGCGGGUGUCGCCCCGCAUCCCCCCGCCCUGGGCUAGGCGCACAGCGCAGCCCGGAGCAGGCUGGCAUCCUAGACCCUCUGCCCUGCCAACAACACAACAACAGCCGGGGAGUGGACCUGACCCCGGAACUCCCGAAAUUUCCUGAAGACGGUUCCGCUCCCUGCCUCGCCCUUCCAGGCAGCCCAGCAGUUUCGCCCUGCGGAGGGAAGCCUUUCUGUUCUCAAAUCUCUCGUGCUGGGGAGACAGUGGAGCUAGGGCGGCUAGUUUCCCCUUGUAAUUGUGACACCUUGUCUCCUCGAGCUGCAGGCUAAUGCUUGUCGUGUUCGUAGUUUGAUUUCUCGCAGAUCAACAAAGGGCCGGUGGCCUCUCUCGGCCUCCGCGGGAGGGUUGCCAGGUUCCCUUUCAGACAUGCGCAGUGCGGCCGUCCCUAGAGGCGGGUUAACGGCCGCGGACCUGGCAGUUCUCAGGCUUCUCCAAGGGAGAAGCCCCCUUGCCAGGGUCUCGAUUUCCCGCCAACCAACAAAGGUUCAUUUGCCUCUUAUGGCCUGCGCGGGAGGGUUGCCAUGGUAAUACUUCUCCGCCGGAUGUUGGGCGCACCCCGCCCCUUUUCUUGCCCCCCUCCCCCUCCACCCCGCCCCUUCUUGCUCCUCCCUCUUGUCACGCCCUUUCAGACAUGCGUAGUGCAGCCCGUCCCUAGCGGUGGGGUAAAGGUCCUGCCCUUUUACACAUGCGGAGUGCACCCGUUCCUAGGGGUGGGGCUAACGGGCCUACCGUUUCAGACAUGCUCAGUGCAGCCUGUCCUUAGGCGUAGGGUAAUGGUGGGCGACCUGGCAGUUCUUGGGCUCCUUGGGAUCCCCUCGAGAAGCCCCCUUGUUAGUGUAUGAAACCGUCAGUUCACUGCCAGUAAUGAAAACAUCGUGUCCUUAGUCACCUGCCAUUAGCCUUUUCGAAACCAUUUUUUCUGUUCCCUAAGCUGUCACAAAUCCUCCUCUGCAUCCCAGGAGUGCCGCUUGGUCCUCGGGCUCGCAGCGUGGCCCACACCUGGGUCGGGCCUCUCACGGGGACGCUCCCGCCACUGUGAUAAAGAGGAGAAAACGUCACAGGGGAAGGGCCUGACCCUGCUGCAUCCAUUUUUUAGAUUAAGUACUGCACGACUACUCGCUUCUGAAACUGUCAUAAGAAACUGCCUCAGCUCCCUGCAGGGUGGACACACAAGAGCAGAAUCUCCGUGGGACAUCUCUUUGGAGCAUCAAUAUUACUACAGUAUUUGGAAGACACAAAUUUAAAUAAUUUCUAAGGUAAAGAAUGGAACAUUUAAGACAAGGCUGGAAAGUCAUCUGCCUUUAAUAACUCAUCUGUGCCUCACAUGUCAGACUUUCUCCAAGAAAAAAACUAAGGAGAACUUAUUUCCAUUCUUAUAAGUAGUAAAAAUAAUAAAUCAUAUCAAGUCAAUUGAAA